UACGGGGGGGGCAAGCGUUGUUCGGAAUUACUGGGCGUAAAGGGCGCGUAGGCGGCCUGGCAAGUGGAUGGUGAAAUCCCUCGGCUUAACCGAGGAACUGCCAUCCAGACUGCUUGGCUUGAGACCGGGAGAGGUGAGUGGAAUUCCCAGUGUAGCGGUGAAAUGCGUAGAUAUUGGGAGGAACACCAGUGGCGAAGGCGGCUCACUGGACCGGUACUGACGCUGAGGAGCGAAAGCGUGGGGAGCGAACAGG
rnacentral:rRNA from 1 species